GAAUUCAAUAGGGACCAUAUACAAUGCAGCCUAUGUACACCCUGCAAUUAACUACAAGACUGAAUUUCCCCAACUUGGAUCUACUCAUCGGCCUCGAAUAUCUACGGAGCACCAACCUCGUCCUCUCCCACAACAUAUACCUGGGCCCUGGGUUGCUCCAUCAACCGCUACAGGAAUCAGUUAUGGUCAUCCUGAACAAUGAUGCCACCUUUUAAUCCAAGUCAUGUUGGCGCAUGCUCCCCAUCGACCAUAUAUUUGCAUUCUUCUCAGUAUCCUUCAGUGUCCUGGAGUGCCAUUCAUUCAUCCACAUGAGCAUGUUCACCAGCCUUUUUCACAGCCUCAUCAACAUCAGCCUGAUGCUAGUUUUGGAUUAGCCCGGCCCCAGUGAGGUGAUUGGGCAUGCCUGCACCCUGCCAGUAACCAAUUAUCUGAAACAGUGGAAUGAUGUCAUCACAAAUUAUCUAAACUGGCUGGAGUGCAGGCAUAGAAACCAGGUGAGCUGGACAUGAUUUUGAAGGAAAUAUGCAUUGACCUGCUACCUCACACUCGGUUUAUCUUGGAGCUUCUGUAGCUUUGGCAAAGGGUAGAGAAGCUCACUUGGUUUGUGGCACAUUCAUUGCCAUUGAUGAUGACGAUGAAGAAAAGUAGAUGGGACUUAUGGAGCCAAGAAUGUAAUCAGUCAUCAAUGAUGAAGCAAUAUGAGGAGCCAAUGGGAAUUGGGGAAGAUCUUUUGUUUCAAAGUGGGCAAAUUGCUUCUGUACUGUUAGGGCCUUCAAUGUGCAGCAUCUCCUGUUGUGUAUGGGUAAAAGCUUUUGCCAUGAAACAACGAGCCUUUACCGGAUAGGUUGCUUGCUGAAAUAAUAAAGCGGACACAUUAUGUACCAUAAACUAUUUGAUCCAGCCACAUUUUGAACCUUUUUUAUUACUAUCAGCUAGUAUCUGUAGUCUUGAUUACAUGUAAUGAAGUGAAUCAAGAAUUGGGAUGG